rnacentral:rRNA from 1 species
ACGAUCUCUUCUGAGAUAGUGGCACACGGGUGAGUAACGCGCGGGAACCUACCUUAUUUCUACGGAAUAACAGCUAGAAAUGACUGCUAAUACCGUAUACGCCCUUCGGGGGAAAGAUUUAUCGGAGUAAGAUGGCCCCGCGUUGCAUUAUCUAGUUGGGGGGGUAAUGGCCUCCCAAGGCGACCAUCUAUAUUUGCGUCUGAAGAGGAUGAUCCCCCCCCCUGGAUCUGAAACACGGCCCCUACUCCUACUGGAGGCAGCAGUGGGGAAUAUUGGACAAUGGGGGGACGCUUGCAUCCAUUCCUGCUGCGGGAGUGAAGAACGCCUUAUGGUUGUCAACUUCUUUCCACCCGAGAAAAUAAUGACGCCACCUCCUAAAAAAACCCCCGCCUAAUUUCCUGCCAACACUCC